CCUGCCUGUAAGACUGGGAUAACUCCGGGAAACCGGGGCUAAUACCGGAUGGUUGUCUGAACCGCAUGGUUCAGACAUAAAAGGUGGCCUCGGCUACCACUUACAGAUGGACCCGCGGCGCAUUAGCUAGUUGGUGAGGUAACGGCUCACCAAGGCGACGAUGCGUAGCCGACCUGAGAGGGUGAUCGGCCACACUGGGACUGAGACACGGCCCAGACUCCUACGGGAGGCAGCAGUAGGGAAUCUUCCGCAAUGGACGAAAGUCUGACGGAGCAACGCCGCGUGAGUGAUGAAGGUUUUCGGAUCGUAAAGCUCUGUGUUAGGGAAGAACAAGUGCCGUUCAAAUAGGGCGGCACCUUGACGGUACCUAACCAGAAAGCCACGGCUAACUACGUGCCAGCAGCCGCGGUAAUACGUAGGUGGCAAGCGUUGUCCGGAAUUAUUGGGCGUAAAGGGCUCGCAGGCGGUUUCUUAAGUCUGAUGUGAAAGCCCCCGGCUCAACCGGGGAGGGUCAUUGGAAACUGGGGAACUUGAGUGCAGAAGAGGAGAGUGGAAUUCCACGUGUAGCGGUGAAAUGCGUAGAGAUGUGGAGGAACACCAGUGGCGAAGGCGACUCUCUGGUCUGUAACUGACGCUGAAGAGCGAAAGCGUGGGGAGCGAACAGGAUUAGAUACCCUGGUAGUCCACGCCGUAAACGAUGAGUGCUAAGUGUUAGGGGG
rnacentral:rRNA from 1 species